rnacentral:rRNA from 1 species
UACGGAGGGUGCAAACGUUGCUCGGAAUCAUUGGGCGUAAAGCGUACGUAGGCGGCCUGUUAAGUCGGGUGUGAAAGCCCUGGGCUCAACCCAGGAAGUGCACUCGAAACUGGCGGGCUUGAAUAUGGAAGAGGGUCGCGGAAUUCCCGGUGUAGAGGUGAAAUUCGUAGAUAUCGGGAGGAACACCAGUGGCGAAGGCGGCGACCUGGGCCAAUAUUGACGCUGAGGUGCGAAAGCGUGGGGAGCAAACAGG